UGUUUUUUAAUUAAAAACUAGAAUGAAAGGUUAUACAUUCAAAUUUCUUUAUUAAUUUUUAAUAAAUAAUUUAUAUUAAAUAUAAAAAUAUAUUUUUAAAAAAAAAAGACGACAAGACCCUAUUAAAUUUUACUUAUAGUUUAGCUGGGGAAGCUUUUUAAUUAAAAUUUUUUAAAUUUAAUAAAUAAAAAUCUAAUAAAAUUAAAAUUUUAAUAAAUUACUAUAGGGAUAACAGCAUUAUAUUUUUUUAAAGUUCAUAUUAAAAAAAAAGAUUGUGACCUCGAUGUUGAAUUAUAUUUUCUAUAUUUAAUGCAAUAAUUAUAAAAGUAGAUCUGUUCGAUCUUUAAAAUAUUACAUGAUUUGAGUUCAAACCGGUGUAAACCAGGUUGGUUUCUAUCUUUUUUUAUAUUUUUCUAGUACGAAAGGACAAAAAAAUUUUUAUUUUAAUAAAUUAGCAAAUAAAUGCAUUAGAUUUAGAAUCUAAAUAUAUUUAAUAAUU
rnacentral:misc_RNA from 1 species